GCAGGGGGUGGGGUGGACGUGGAAGAGGAAGAAGCUUUCGGUAAAUUUCAUGCAUUCCCACAAUAAAAAGAAGUAUGAACCGGUGAUUGAGCUGCCCUAGAAGAAUAUCCAGCAGGAGUGGUUGAUGUACUAAGAUUCUUUCUCGGGAGAAAUGAGAUCAUAUAUACAUAGAGGGAACUGACACGUUUUCUGAUUUGUUGUGGACUAACACCAACUAUCGUAUUCCCAAUUUCCUAUGAGCAUGUCAAUGUAGAUUAAUGAUUUGGAUACCAAUUAGGGCUCUGAGGUCCCAAUCCUGA
rnacentral:lncRNA from 1 species